ensembl:misc_RNA
GUGAAAGGUGUUGGAUAGAAGGUUUCUAUUCAUCCAGAAAACACAUGCAGCAUGAACAAUAGCCAUGGAAGCUUCCCCACACUGCCAUGCCAAUGUGCGUCUAACUACAGUAACAAGAGCUUUGCAAUAUUAUGAGUUCCUUCAAAUCCCUUCUCAGGAUACACAGUUCU